rnacentral:rRNA from 1 species
UACAGAGGGGGCAAGCGUUGUUCGGAAUUACUGGGCGUAAAGGGCGCGUAGGCGGCCUUCUAAGUCGAACGUGAAAUCCCCGGGCUCAACCCGGGAACUGCGUCCGAUACUGGGAGGCUUGAAUCCGGGAGAGGGAUGCGGAAUUCCAGGUGUAGCGGUGAAAUGCGUAGAUAUCUGGAGGAACACCGGUGGCGAAGGCGGCAUCCUGGGAUAACACUGACGCUCAUGCACGAAAGCGUGGGGAGCAAACAGG